rnacentral:rRNA from 1 species
UACGUAGGGUGCAAGCGUUGUCCGAAUUAUUGGGCGUAAAGAGCUCGUAGGCGGCUUGUCGCGUCGGCUGUGAAAACCUGGGGCUCAACCCCGGGCCUGCAGCCGAUACGGGCAAGCGUAGAAUUCGGUAGGGGAGGACUGGAAUUCCUGGUGUAGCGGUGAAAUGCGCAGAUAUCAGGAGGAACACCGGUGGCGAAGGCGGGUCUCUGGGGCCGAAAUUGACGCUGAGGAGCGAAAGCAUGGGGAGCGAACAGG